UACGAAGGGGGCUAGCGUUGCUCGGAAUCACUGGGCGUAAAGCGCACGUAGGCGGCUUUUUAAGUCAGGGGUGAAAUCCUGGAGCUUAACUCCAGAACUGCCUUUGAUACUGAGGAGCUAGAGUCCGGAAGAGGUGAGUGGAACUGCGAGUGUAGAGGUGAAAUUCGUAGAUAUUCGCAAGAGCACCAGUGGCGAAGGCGGCUCACUGGUCCGGUACUGACGCUGAGGUGCGAAAGCGUGGGGAGCAAACAGG
rnacentral:rRNA from 1 species